rnacentral:rRNA from 1 species
GACGAACGCUGGCGGCGUGCUUAACACAUGCAAGUCGAACGGAAAGGCCUCUUUCGGGGGGUACUCGCGUUGCGAACGGGUGAGUAACACGUGAGUAACCUGCCCUUGACUUUGGGAUAACUUCCGGAAACUGGGGCUAAUACCGGCCAGGAGCUCCUGCUGCCUGGUGGGGGCUGGAAAGUUUCGGCGGUUGGGGGUGGGUUCGCGGCUUAUCAGCUUGUUGGUGGGGUAGUGGCUUACCAAGGCCUUGCCGGGUAGCCGGACUGGGGGGGUGACAGGCCGCAUUGGGUCCGAGGUGCGGCCCCGGCUCCGACGGGUGGGAGAUGGGGGGAAGCUUGAAGGAGGGGUGGCGGCCGGGUGCAGCAGGGCCGUGGGCGGGAUGACGGUCUUCGGGUUGUAGACCGCUUUCGCUCGUGACGAAGCUUUGUGUGACGGUAGUGGGUAAAGAAGCACCGGCUAACUACGUG